GUGGGGAAUAUUGGACAAUGGGCGAAAGCCUGAUCCAGCCAUGCCGCGUGUGUGAAGAAGGUCUUCGGAUUGUAAAGCACUUUAAGUUGGGAGGAAGGGUAGUAACCUAAUACGUUGCUACUUUGACGUUACCGACAGAAUAAGCACCGGCUAACUUCGUGCCAGCAGCCGCGGUAAUACGAAGGGUGCAAGCGUUAAUCGGAAUUACUGGGCGUAAAGCGCGCGUAGGUGGUUCAGUAAGUUGGAAGUGAAAUCCCCGGGCUCAACCUGGGAACUGCUUUCAAAACUGCUGAGCUAGAGUACGGUAGAGGGUGGUGGAAUUUCCUGUGUAGCGGUGAAAUGCGUAGAUAUAGGAAGGAACACCAGUGGCGAAGGCGACCACCUGGACUGAUACUGACACUGAGGUGCGAAAGCGUGGGGAGCGAACAGGAUUAGAUACCCCUGGUAGUCC
rnacentral:rRNA from 1 species